UUCAAUAUAAUUAAGUUUUUUAUAUAGUAAAGAAGGGGUUGUUACUUGUUAGUUUUUGAGAAAAUGGUGGAUGUACCGUGUCAAUGGAGGGUCCCACCGUCAGACUUAUAAAUUUAUAAUAGUGAAAGAUCUCUUUUUGAUGGGAAGUUAAGUAAAACGCGGGAUAACCAAAUAUCUAGAAGCUAAAAUUGGAGGGAAACUAGCCAAACUUUUAAAACACUAUACCAGAUGCAAGUCACUUCAUGACUUUCAGUCUACAACACAAAAGCAGUACACAGAAAGUUCUGAGUUGUUUACUUUAGAAAAAUCUGUUUAGACAAGUUUGGGAAAGGCGCAGAUGAAUGUCGAGGCCAUUGGAGACGUUCUCCUCUUUCAGACUCACCUUUAAGCACUAAGAGAUCCCGAUUUCAUGCUGCUCAAAGUAUAGGAGCUUUGCAACUUAACCCACCAAAAUUCUGCAGGUAUGUUUUAAGAACAUCUAUUUUGGGUCCAUGGCAAAAAUAGCUAUUAAAUCUGGUAUAGUGUUUUAACUGUAGAAAUAUUGCAAUUUUCAUGAUGAUCACCCUAUUUAAACUGUAUUUUCACAUGACAGUUCCAAUUUUCGUUAGUUGCAUAUAGAAUCGAUUUCCAAUCAAUUGGAAGUUUGAUUUGCCAUGAGAGGAACAAGAAGAGGACUGUAUGGACAUGCCCUCAUGACAGAAACUCGCAUACGCGCAAGUGAAGCGAGCACAUGGAGUGGUCCAACACCUCAGCCGCAACCUAGUAGGUGGACACGAAGGGUUGAGCAAAGAUCAUCAUCGGAUGACUCAACAGAGCCCCCAGAGAUGGUUUUGGGUACUGAGUUACCUGAAAUUAGCAAUGGUCCAAAUACAAGUGUUGAGAACAAUGGAUUUUGAUGUAUAUCUAUACUUGCUGGAUGUCGCUUGGUGGAAUUAUAAAAAGUCCUAGGCUACAAUAUUUUGGUGGGAUUACUUUGUUAAAAGUUAUCCUCAAACUUUGUAAGUAUGCUUUAAAACCUCUUCCAACUGCAUAUCUUGUCUGGAAUGGUUAAGAGAGUUGCUCAUUGUAUUGUAUAAGAUUAGUUAUGAUGCUGGUGAUAUUAAAACCCAACAACUUGAGACACCAUGUAUACUAGGUACAAUGAAAUGUUUGAUAAUUUUUUCUGGCAUAUUGAUAGGUAGAGAUUUAACUAUCAAUACGCAUGUAAAGAUAAAGAGAUUUAAUCCCAAGUUGUCAUUUAAAUAACUUGCCUAGUAUUGGAAGAGACAAGUUUUGCAUUAUAUUGGAAGAUAUUUCAAUCAGGUCUAACAUUGUUUAUUCACAAGAACAUGUCAUUGGGUCACUCUUUGAGAGUAUUUAUGUAAACUUAAAAAAUAAGACUGUCUAUUAAAUGAGAUUUAUGUUGGGUCAACCAGAAUUUAUUUUAAUUGAAGUGAGGUUUGGCUCGUCGAUAAUGUUUUUAUUUUAAACAAUGUUGGUAUUUUCUUCUAUAUAUCAUAUGGUAAUUAGUCCUUGCGUGCAUACAUAAUUAUAAAGCUUAAGAAAACUAAUUGGGUAGCACUAUUUCCAUAUUUGGUGGUGUGGAAGAAACAAAAAUGGCAUGAGGAUUUAGUUUCCAGGGAUUUUGUGCUUAGGUGGUAAUUUCCACCAUUUAUUCCCCUGUUUUUUUACAGCCUAUAUACUUGCAUAUGAUAUCAUAUAUACUUGCAUAUACUUGGACAGGUCAUCCAUUUUGUGCUUAGGUAUGUGCUUGAAAAUGUAGCUUUCAUAUCAUAAAGCUGAAAAUAAUUGUUUGAAGCAUGUGUAUUUUGCAGGUAGACAUAAGCUGUCAAAUGUUGAUAUCAGCCAUUAGGAAUUUUUUAAUGCACCAAUGAGCCUGCUGGAUGCUAAUAUGGAUUCACUCCUAGGUUUAAAUUAAUGUAUAGCCAUGUUAACAACAAUUCCAAUCAAAUGCACAUAUUUUGAAUGUGUUUAGUGCCAGUAGAUGCUUUUAGGAAUUUUCGCAAUUGUAUGACAAUUAGAAACCAGUUAUAAUGUAUGAUGUGAAAGUAAAUGAAAUGUUCACAUUCAAGCUUAUUUGUAUGAAACUGGAUGGCAAUGUACAUGUUGGUUAUUGGUAAAA